rnacentral:rRNA from 1 species
GAAGGUGGCAAGCGUUAUUCGGAUUUACUGGGCGUACAGGGAGCGUAGGCGGUUCGGUAAGCCCUUUGUGAAAUCUUCAGGCUUAACCUGGAAAAGUCGGAGGGGACUGCCGGGCUAGAGGACGGGAGAGGAGCGCGGAAUUCCCGGUGUAGCGGUGAAAUGCGUAGAGAUCGGGAGGAAGGCCGGUGGCGAAGGCGGCGCUCUGGAACGUUUCUGACGCUGAGGCUCGAAAGCGUGGGGAGCAAACAGGAUUAGAUACCCUGGUAGUCCACGCCUUAAACUAUGAAUACUAAGCGUCGGCGGGUUACCGCCGGUGCCGCAGCUAACGCAUUAAGUAUUCCGCCUGGGAAGUACGGCCGCAAGGUUG